UACGAAGGGGGCUAGCGUUGCUCGGAAUCACUGGGCGUAAAGGGUGCGUAGGCGGGUCUUUAAGUCAGGGGUGAAAUCCCAGAGCUCAACUCUGGAACUGCCUUUGAUACUGGGUAUCUUGAGUAUGGAAGAGGUGAGUGGAAUUCCGAGUGUAGAGGUGAAAUUCGUAGAUAUUAGGAAGAACACCAGUGGCGAAGGCGGCUCACUGGCCCGGAACUGACGCUGAUGUGCGAAAGCGUGGGGAGCAAACAGG
rnacentral:rRNA from 1 species